rnacentral:miRNA from 1 species
UGCGUGCGUGUGUAUGUGUGUGUGUGUGUAUGAGUACAUAUAUACAUAGUACAUUUUACAGACUAAUUAUUUAUACACACACACACACACACACACACACACA